GUGGUGAGUGACCAUUAAACGCUUUGCAUUGGCCACAAAAGUUUUGGAUCAAACUGACAUUUGUAUUAUCUCUUUAUCAAGGUCUGGUUGACCUUAUCAACGGUUUGGAUGGCAAAUAAACAUUUUGGAUCUGCUUAUGGUUGGCGUUCAAUCACCACUGUUUCUUGUGGUGCGGUCCACCUGAGAUUUGAAUCUGCUUAAUUUUUGGAAACCCAUCUUUAAAAUGCGCUGAAAAAACGGAUGGACGGUGUGGAUAUACAACACAUCAUCAAGGUGGGUCCCACGGUGACCCAAAACGGGCCCAAUCACUAAAAAAAACUCGGGCCUAAAAUCAAGGUUCAGGCCCAAAAUGAGGAAGGCUGGGCUGAAAACAAAAAUAGCCAGAGGUCCAAAACUUCCAUUUCUUUCCGAUUUCUUCUGUCUAGGGUUUGAGAGAAAACCCACCUCUAUUUGGCCUUUAAUGGCUGCCAAAAACGAGAAAGGAGAGAGCAAUUUUCGACAGCCCUGGUCGCAGCGUACGAAAACAAUCCCAGCUAUGAUCGUCGCCGCUGCCACGCCUCGCACACGGAAGGAGGAGAUUCUUGAAGAGGCGGGCCAUCAGGAUUGAAGGUGUAGAGGGGGGACACGAAUCGGACGGCAACAACGAGCUCGAGCGAUGGUGAGCUUCCAGAUUUCUCUCUGUGAACGUUUCCACCAAAUCCUCUUCAAUUCCUAGCCAGGGGAAGCACGACAACAGCACAAUCGGGGCCAUGGACGAUCAUUGAACUACGGACGGGGGACACCAUCCAACCAUCCAACUCAAGGAACGAGCACGACACCUUGCUAACCAUGCAACUGAACAGCAGCACGCCACAUAUUGGAGGAAGUAGCGUACCACACGCCAGAAGGAUCAGCGAUCCAAUUAUGCUUGGCCUGGUUAUGAUGCAUUGGUUUGAAGGCUACAAGAAUCAAUUUCUCACUUUUGAGUUGAUUGUGGGCUGUGGAGUGUGGUGCAUUUCUUGUUAACGAUUGGUGCUUAAAUCUCCGUCGGCAUAUUUGCAAGCCCAUACAUGAAGUUAUGAUAUCCUCCAUUUUCCACAGAUCUGCAAUUUCAGUGGUUUAGUUUGUGCAGGUAAUAUGAUACCAUGAUGAGUUUUGACCUAUAGGUCCAGUCCUUUUUGUGUGUAUGUACUCUGCCUUUCUAUAAUACUUUUAUUGGUUGUGUCUCUUUGAUGAGUUACUAUCAUUAUUUCUGGGAUUAAUACCUCCAUGGAUCUUCUAAGAUUUAUUAUUUAUUAAUAAAGGAUGUCAAUAUUGCAAGUUGUUGUUGAUA